AGAAAAAUGACUGCACCGGCACUUCAGUCAACACCUAUGGAAAUUAUACUCUCAUAAUUAAGUGUUCUUGCAUAGCAAGACCACUUAUUGCUAUGCAAGAACACUUAAUUAUGAGGGUAUAAUUUCCAUAGGUGUUGAUUGAAGUGCCGGUGCAGUCAUUUUUCU